AUUGAACGCUGGCGGCAGGCCUAACACAUGCAAGUCGAGCGGAUGACGGGAGCUUGCUCCUUGAUUCAGCGGCGGACGGGUGAGUAAUGCCUAGGAAUCUGCCUGGUAGUGGGGGACAACGUUUCGAAAGGAACGCUAAUACCGCAUACGUCCUACGGGAGAAAGCAGGGGACCUUCGGGCCUUGCGCUAUCAGAUGAGCCUAGGUCGGAUUAGCUAGUUGGUGGGGUAAUGGCGCACCAAGGCGACGAUCAGUAACUGGUAUGAGAGGAUGGUCAGUCACACUUGAACUGAGACACGGUACAGACUACUACGGGAGGCAGCAGUGGGGAAUAUUGGACAAUGGUCGAAAGACUGAUCCAGCCAUGCCGCGUGUGUGAAGAAGGUCUUCGGAUUGUAAAGCACUUUAAGUUGGGAGGAAGGGCAGUAAGUUAAUACCUUGCUGUUUUGACGUUACCGACAGAAUAAGCACCGGCUAACUCUGUGCCAGCCGCCGCAGUAAGAC
rnacentral:rRNA from 1 species